AUUGAACGCUGGCGGCAGGCCUAACACAUGCAAGUCGAACGAGUGGCGGACGGGUGAGUAAUGUCUGGGCAACUGCCUGAUGGAGGGGGAUAACUACUGGAAACGGUAGCUAAUACCGCCUACACUCAGAUUAGACCAGGUGGGAUUAGCUUGUUGGUGAGGUAACGGCUCACCAAGGCGACGACCCCUAGCUGGUCUGAGAGGAUGACCAGCCACACUGGAACUGAGACACGGUCCAGACUCCUACGGGAGGCAGCAGUGGGGAAUAUUGCGCAAUGGGCGCAAGCCUGAUGCAGCAAUGCCGCGUGAAUGAAGAAGGCCUUCGGAUUGUAAAGUACUUUCAGCGGGGAGGCGUUACCCGAAGAGAAAGCACCGGCUAACUCCGUGCCAGCAGCCGCGGUAAUAC
rnacentral:rRNA from 1 species